rnacentral:tRNA from 1 species
GAGGGUGUAGCUCAGUGGUAGAGUGCAUGCUUAGCAUGCACAAGGUCCUGGGUUGAAUCCACAGUACCUUUA